rnacentral:rRNA from 1 species
GACGAACGCUGGCGGCGUGCUUAACACAUGCCAGUCGAACGGAAAGGCCCUGCUUUUGUGGGGUGCUCGAGUGGCGAACGGGUGAGUAACACGUGAGUAACCUGCCCUUGACUUUGGGAUAACUUCAGGAAACUGGGGCUAAUACCGGAUAGGAGCUCCUGCUGCAUGGUGGGGGUUGGAAAGUUUCGGCGGUUGGGGAUGGACUCGCGGCUUAUCAGCUUGUUGGUGGGGUAGUGGCUUACCAAGGCUUUGACGGGUAGCCGGCCUGAGAGGGUGACCGGCCACAUUGGGACUGACAUACGGCCCAGACUCCUACGGGAGGCAGCAGUGGGGAAUAUUGCACAAUGGGCGGAAGCCUGAUGCAGCAACGCCGCGUGCGGGAUGACGGCCUUCGGGUUGUAAACCGCUUUCGCCUGUGACGAAGCGUGAGUGACGGUAAUGGGUAAAGAAGCACCGGCUAACUACGUG